rnacentral:lncRNA from 1 species
UAGGCGAUCAUGUUUUCAAGGAGCAUUUGACGUGACUGAUCGCUUCCUGUUUGACUACUUCUACAUCAUCCAGGAGGUCGAUCGAAUACUUCAUGUUCGUCUACGACAACUUCUUCCUGCUACGCUGCUGCUUCUGUCCGAUGAACUUCACUGUACUGACUCGAGGCUGCAUCAUUUUUGUUUGGCUACAUCAAGUCAUCAACUAAAGUCAACCAAAUAGAACGUCUAUUCUAGUUGAUGACGAGCAGUUAAUGCCUCCGGCAAGGGCCCUCCCUUGGGUAUACUAUAGUCCUUCUCUUUUUUAUAUCAUUCAUGUUUACUCCCUCCAUCC